GACGAACGCUGGCGGCGUGCCUAAUACAUGCAAGUAGAACGCUGAAGAGAGGAGCUUGCUCUUCUUGGAUGAGUUGCGAACGGGUGAGUAACGCGUAGGUAACCUGCCUUGUAGCGGGGGAUAACUAUUGGAAACGAUAGCUAAUACCGCAUAACAAUGGAUGACACAUGUCAUUUAUUUGAAAGGGGCAAUUGCUCCACUACAAGAUGGACCUGCGUUGUAUUAGCUAGUAGGUGAGGUAAUGGCUCACCUAGGCGACGAUACAUAGCCGACCUGAGAGGGGGAUCGGCCACACUGGGACUGAGACACGGCCCAGACUUCUACGGGAGGCAGCAGGAGGGAAUCUUCGGCAAUGGGGGCAACCCUGACCGAGCAACGCCGCGUGAGUGAAGAAGGGUGUCGGAUCGUAAAGCUCUGUUGUAAGUCAAGAACGGGUGUGAGAGUGGAAAGUUCACACUGUGACGGUAGCUUACCAGAAAGGGACGGCUAACUACGUG
rnacentral:rRNA from 1 species